UCCGUGCUGUGGCGCGGUGCCUGUUAAUCCAAGUUACCGGAGGUUGGAGACUGCGUGGGAUCGUUUGAGUCAGGAUCUCUGAGCUGCAGUUGUACUAUGUCGAUCGGCUGUCCAAUAAGUUCCUGGUAUCGAUUGCGUGCCUCCUGGGCGAGGCCGGGACCACCCAGGUCGUCUAAGGAGGGUGCACCGGCCCAGGUCGGAAAAACGGAGCAGGGCCAAAACCCCCGUGCUUCAGUAGGUGGGAUCGCCGCCUGUGAAUAGAGGCUGUACGUUGAAGCCUGAGUAAUACAGCGGACCCCAGUUCUUUU
rnacentral:SRP_RNA from 1 species